rnacentral:ncRNA from 1 species
UUAAAUGCGAUGACAGGGAAAACACUUUGCGGUAUGUUGCUACAGAGAGCUGUUGGAUGCUGAAAAACAGUGCGCAGAGCAAAUGUGAACUCCCCCUUGAGCAGUCAGCUGAAAGCUUAAAGAUGUCAUUUGGCGGCUUAAAAGCAAGUAGGUGCGAACGGGUUUCCCGCCGUUAUCACGGGAGGGCAUUCGUCAUUUUGACCGAUGCCUGGAGAGUGGGUAUGGAUCAUACCAAAUAGAGUGGUACCACGGAAGUUAACGCUUUCGUCUCUAGC